ACCUGGGACACUCGAGGAGGCACACGAGGCGGAAAAGUGGACGGGUGCCCCGCGCCGCCGCCUCUCCCGAGGGCGCGUACUGACCAGGAUGUCAGACAAGCUCAAGGAACGCAAAAGAACCCCCGUUUCUCAUAAAGUGAUAGAAAAGCGGAGGAGGGACAGGAUCAACCGCUGCUUGAACGAGCUGGGCAAGACAGUGCCCAUGGCCCUGGCGAAGCAGGUAACGUUGGCGGCCCGGAGCCGGGUGCCAGGCGUUGGGAGGCCUCUGCGGCCACUCUGCGGAGACGCCUGAGCCUGCAGACACAGAGGACCUCACUUGCGGGCCCCUCCUGGGGGGGGCCUGAGCGCAGGGCGAACCUCAGGAGGCUCUGGCGCAGAUCCGCAGCCGCGUCCUCUCGCUGGUCCUCUCCAGCGCCACAGUGCCCGCCUAGCAGGCGCUGGGCCGCUGCGAGGGGCCCUUCCUCCUUUUGCAGAGUUCUGGGAAGCUGGAGAAGGCGGAGAUCCUCGAGAUGACCGUUCAGUACCUGAGAGCACUGCACUCCGCUGAUUUUCCCCGUGGAAGGGAAAAAGAACUUCUAGCGGAGUUUGCCAACUACUUCCACUACGGCUACCACGAGUGCAUGAAGAACCUGGUGCAUUACCUCACCACGGUGGAGCGGAUGGAGACCAAAGACACGAAGUACGCGCGCAUCCUCGCCUUCUUGCAGUCCAAGGCCCGCCUGGGCGCGGAGCCCGCCUUUCCGCCGCUGGGUUCGCUCCCGGAGCCGGAUUUCUCCUAUCAGCUGCACCCUGCGGGGCCCGAAUUCGCUGGUCACAGCCCGGGCGAGGCCGCUGUGUUCCCGCAAGGCUCUGGGGCCGGGCCUUUCCCCUGGCCGCCUGGCGCGGCCCGCAGCCCCGCCCUGCCCUACCUGCCCAGCGCGCCAGUGCCGCUCGCUAGCCCAGCGCAGCAGCCCAGCCCCUUCCUGACACCGGUGCAGGGCCUGGACCGGCAUUACCUCAACCUGAUCGGCCACGCGCACCCCAACGCCCUUAACCUGCACACGCCCCAGCACCCCCCGGUGCUCUGACGCCCACUCGCCCGCGAAAUUUCUCCGCGC
rnacentral:sRNA from 1 species